rnacentral:rRNA from 1 species
GAUGAACGCUGGCGGCAGGCCUAACACAUGCAAGUCGAACGGUAGAACGGAAGUUGCUUGUGGUUCCAGAGGGGGAAUGGGGUGUGAUUCAUGGGAAUCUCCCGCUCUGCAGUUUAUAACGGGCUGAGGCAGGUGCGAAUACUCCAGUAGAGCAUAAGGAUUAGGGGAGGGAGCUGGGGAGCUUCUGCUAUUAGGUGAGCGUAUGUCGCAUUAGCUAGUUGGUGGGGUAAAGGCCUACAGAGACGACGAGGCGUAGCUGGUCUGAGAGGAUGAUCAGCCACACGGGAACUGAGACACGGUCCAGACUCCUACGGGAGGCAGCAGUGGGGAAUAUUGGGCAAUGGGCGAAAGCCUGAUCCAGCCAGGCCGCGUGUGUGAAGAAGGCCUUCGGUUUGUAAAGCCCUUUUAGUGGGGAAGAAAGGCAGUAAGUUAAUACCUAGCUGUUCUGACGGUACCUAAAGAAUAAGCACCGGCUAACUUCGUG